CAUGGUCAGUUAGCUUUUUAUAGAUUUUGGAACUCUCAUAUACUGCUUAUGUGAAACAUUUUAUAUAAAAACAAAGAUCCUGGGCUAGGGUUGUGGCUCAGUUGUAUAGGGCUCACCUGGCACCCGUAGGCAGGAGUUUGAUCCUCAAUACCACAUACAAAAAAAGAAAUAAAGAUAUUGUGUGUCCACCUACAACUAAAAAGUAAAUAGUUGGAUAAAACAGCAACAAAGAUCCUUCCCCUCCCCCACACUUCAUGUAUUACUAUUAUUAGAUACCAGGAAUUGAACCCAGGGGCACUCUACCACUGAGCUACACCCCCAAUCCCUUUUAUUUUAAAUUUUGAAACAGGUUCUUGCUAAAUUGUUGAGGGUUUUGCUAAGUUGUUGAGAUUGUCCUCGAAUUUGUGAUCCUCCUGCCUAAUCCUCCUGAAUUGCUACGAUUAAUUACAGGUAUGCACUGCCACACCUGACUCCAAGUGUUCUCUAUAUAUAUGAAGUCACUUCGAGGAAACUGUAUCCUUCCACUACGAUCUCCUCUUUGCCAAAUUUCCCUUUAUAUUAGGUGGUAUUGGAGUGACUGGACAUUUUAAAUAUCUGCUAAAGGAAAGUUGGAUUGAAAAUACAUUUAAUUUCAAGAUUAGUGAGAUAUAUUUACAUGGACCAUAUUGUUGCUGGCUGUCUUUGUUUAGCAGUAGAUUGCAGGAACACUCCUAUGAUCCACUGUACUGACUCACCUAGCUAGCAUCUCAUCACUGAGGUGCAGGGUUAGAGGAUAUAAUGUAAUGUGAACACAUGGCUGGCACUGGAAGUAUGUGAGUAGUGUGGAAAAAAGAAGGAUUGCAAUGUACAGAGCCAGAAGCUAGUCUAGGGGAAAAGCCUUCCAAAUCAACUGACAUGUACAUUGUAAGCAGAGAAUUUGGUUCUCAUUUAUGUCAAGCCAAAACAGAUAUAAUUC
rnacentral:lncRNA from 1 species